UACUGCUGCUGAAAGGAUCGG
rnacentral:piRNA from 1 species